rnacentral:rRNA from 1 species
AGAGAAUAGAUACCCGGGUAGUCCCAGCCGUAAACGAUGCUCGCUAGGUGUCAGGCAUGGCGCGACCGUGUCUGGUGCCGCAGGGAAGCCGUGAAGCGAGCCACCUGGGAAGUACGGCCGCAAGGCUGAAACUUAAAGGAAUUGGCGGGGGAGCACAACAACGGGUGGAGCCUGCGGUUUAAUUGGACUCAACGCCGGACAACUCACCGGGGGCGACAGCAAUAUGUAGGCCAAGCUGAAGACUUUGCCUGAAUUGCUGAGAGGAGGUGCAUGGCCGUCGCCAGUUCGUACUGUGAAGCAUCCCGUUAAGUCAGGCAACGGGCGAGACCCGUGCCCACUGUUACCAGCAUAUUCUCCGGAAUGAUGGGUACUCUGUGGGGACCGCCUAUGUUAAAUAGGAGGAAGGUGCGGGCCACGGUAGGUCAGUAUGCCCCGAAUCUCCCGGGCUACACGCGGGCUACAAUGGAUGGGAUAAUGGGUCCCUACCCCGAAAGGGUUGGUAAUCUCACAAACCCAUUCGUAGUUCGGAUCGAGGGCUGUAACUCGCCCUC